GAUCCUGGCUCAGGAUGAACGCUAGCGGCAGGCUUAACACAUGCAAGUCGAGGGGCAGCAUGAGACGGAGAUUCGUCGAAGUCUUGAUGGCGACCGGCGCAAGGGUGCGUAACGCGUGAGCAACUUGCCCGUUUCUGGGGAAUAACCGGUGGAAACGCCGACUAAUACCCCAUAGUAUUGGUUUUAGGCAUCUUUAACCAAUUAAAGAAUUUCGGAAACGGAUAGGCUCGCGUGACAUUAGCUAGAUGGUGAGGUAACGGCUCACCAUGGCGACGAUACAUAGGGGGACUGAGACGGUUAACCCCCCACACUGGUACUGAGACACGGACCAGACUCCUACGGGAGGCAGCAGUGAGGAAUAUUGGUCAAUGGACGCAAGUCUGAACCAGCCAUGCCGCGUGCAGGAAGACGGCUCUAUGAGUUGUAAACUGUCUUUUGUAACAAGGGUAAACCUCGGUACGUGUACCGAGUUGAAAGUACUGUACGAAUAAGGAUCGGCUAACUCCGUG
rnacentral:rRNA from 1 species